AUUGAACGCUGGCGGCAGGCCUAACACAUGCAAGUCGAACGAGUGGCGGACGGGUGAGUAAUGUCUGGGACACUGCCUGAUGGCCGGGGAUAACUACUGGAAACGGUAGCUAAUACCGCAUACCAUCAGAUGUGCUCAGAUGGGAUUAGCUAGCUGGUGGGGUAACGGCUCACCAAGGCGACGAUCCCUAGCUGGUCUGAGAGGGUGACCGGCCACACUGGGACUGAGACACGGCCCAGACUCCUACGGGAGGCAGCAGUAGGGAAUAUUGGGCAAUGGGCGCAAGGCUGAUGGAGCAACGCCGCGUGAGUGAAGAAGGCCUUCGGAUUGUAAAGUACUUUUGGCAGGGAAGCGGUAUCUAAAGAGGAAGCACCGGCUAACUCCGUGCCAGCAGCCGCGGUAAUUC
rnacentral:rRNA from 1 species